AGCAGCCGCGGUAAUUCCAGCUCCAAUAGCGUAUAUUAAAGUUGUUGCAGUUAAAAAGCUCGUAGUUGAAUUUCGGGAUCAAUGCGUCGGUCGUGCCUUCGGUACGUACUAGCGUCAUUGAUUCCUCCCUUCUGAAGAACCGUGAUGUCAUUAAUUUGGUGUUACGGGGAAUCAGGACUGUUACCUUGAAAAAAUUAGAGUGUUUAAAGCAGGCUAACGCUUGAAUACAUUAGCAUGGAAUAAUGAAAUAGGACGUUCGAACCUAUUUUGUUGGUUUCUAGGAUCGACGUAAUGAUUAAUAGGGAUAGUUGGGGGCAUUAGUAUUCAAUUGUCAGAGGUGAAAUUCUUGGAUUUAUUGAAGACUAACUACUGCGAAAGCAUUUGCCAAGGAUGUUUUCAUUAAUCAAGAACGAAAGUUAGGGGAUCGAAGACGAUCAGAUACCGUCGUAGUCUUAA
rnacentral:misc_RNA from 1 species